GAUGAGAGAGAGGAAGGACCACAUCUCAUGGCAUAUAUUCCCCCAACAUAACCCCACUUAUGUUUCCUGAUAUGGAGUGAGAUCAUAGAACAACACAACCAACUCCAACUUAUAAAGAGAACUAUAGCUGGCACAUAUUGAUGCAUACAUAGGUAAAAGGAUCAAAAGGCACAUCUAUGUUUCAAUCCUUUGCCAGCAAGUAAGUAGUAUCAUAUCUGAUAACAUUAGUCAAAUGAUUACACACAAAAAUAGGAAUUUAUCAUUGAUGGAGAAGCUUUUUGGAGAGUCAUAGAGGCUAACCUUUCAUCAAAUCAGGUACUACCUUGUGACAAAUACGUUGGAAGUACUAAAUUGUCUCACCUACUGAGGAGUUCAUUCUACACUGUUGUGUUUGGUUUGCCAUUACUCUAACCCCAAUCGUACUUGUUGUUAUUUGCUGCCAUUUUUGAGCUAACGAAAGACAUGGAUCGAAGUUGGAUGAGAGCAUCACGCAUUAGUGAUGAGUAUGUGAAUGGGGUGGAACGGGAUCAUUCCAACUUACACAAAGUGGACAUGGCAUGGUGAAUUGCCAGACAAUCCAUCAGUCUCUCACACUAAGUCAGUCAAGGCAGACAGGGGUUGUCGUAUAGAAGACAUGAUUCGCGACCUAGGCCAGGAUGGUUUUCAAGAAGCGCAUGCACCUUUGUAUGAGAAAAUGGAGAAUGAUUCAAAGAUUCCUUUGUAUUCUGGGUGCACAACUUUCACAAGGUUGUCUACAGUGUUAGCUUUGGUCAACUUGAAGGCACGAUUUGACUAGAGUGAUAAGAGCUUUACUGAAUUGCUUCUGCUAUUGAAGAAAUUGCUUCCUGAAGAUAACAUGUUGCCCAAAAAUCAAUACGAGGCCAAGAAGAUCUUAUAUCCAGUGGGAAUGGAGUACCAGAAAAUCCAUGCAUGUCCAAAUGAUUGCAUAUUGUAUAGAAAUGAGUUUGCAGAAACAAGUGAUGUUGUAACCGCAGAGAACAAUCGUCCAACAAAGGUUUGUUGGUAUCUUCCAAUAAUACCACAUUUUAGGCGACAUGAUGCAAAACAAUGGAUGUGGCAUGCUGAAGGUUGAAAAACUGAUGGAUUGCUAUGACAUCCCGCUAAUAGUCCGCAAUGGAAGACAUUCAAUUCUUUGUAUCCUGAUGAAUCGCCUUCUUCUUGUUCGUCACCCUCUACUAGCUUUAUCCAAGCUACCACCAUUAUCACCCUUUUCCCAAACCUAUUAUUAUUCAUACACACCCACACGAAUAAAUUCUCAAAUAUAUAAGAUUAAGGACCCUCCUCGCACAAGCGCUACAUUUUGCAGUACCAACAAAGAGUUGUCAUCUAAGAAGUGUGUACCUUGCAAUACAAAGGACUUGCAACUCAUGACUGAGGAUGCAGCACGCACUCUGCUUCCCCAGGUUUAUGUUAUCUUUAAAAAUAAUCAAGUCAGAUGUUUUAAUUCCCGGAUAGCAGCGAGUCCAAAAACACUAUAGCCGGAUAGCAGAAUAGUAGCUAUUUUUUAUUUAUUUUUCUGCAUUUUAAAUAAUGUAUACUAUAUAUAUGUACAAAUUGUCAAAUGAUAAAAAUUACUCAAAAUUAAUGACAUUUAUAUGGUCAGAAGGCUCUUUUUGAAGCAAUACAUAGCUCUGCUCACGGCCCUAAUUAUUCAGCCCGCUAUAUGGUUUGCUAUGACCGCAUCAGGAAAAUAAUACCAGCCCGUUGAGACUAACUCCGUCAUAUGUAGAUACUGUCUUUUCUUCCUGGUUUUGAUUAUCCUGGAAUAUGAGGCUAUAUUGCUAUUAUUCUUGGUUAAGAACAUUAUAUAAAAUGUGUUGUUAGGGCUUUGAUUGGCACAAGAAAGAAGCUGCCUUCCACCUUCAAGUUCAGAAACUUACAGAGAGAAACACUUAUUUGGAGCAGCUGCUGCUAGAUAUGCAGAACAGGGAAUCUGCAUCGAUAAAUAGCAAUUUUUAAUUGCAGGAGGACUAUCAACAACGAGUUAAUCAAACGCAGAUUGGUGAGGUCUCGAUGGGUGUGACGCAAGAGAAAGGACGAGUUGCCCACAUUGCAGAUUUACUUGCAAACUUCUGUCUUAGUGUGUCGUGGCAGACUCAGAGUCUUAAACUCCUUCAUCGACUUUUACCAAAGGAUUGGAAUUUUUAAGGAUAGUAGCUGAUCUUCCUGAUGCGGAAGGUCAUCAUCCUGAUCUUCACCUUGUUGGCUGGAAUAAUGUUACUAUAGAGAUUUGUACACAUUCUGUAGCUCUACAUUCGUGACAUUCAUUUUAUGUUGACAAUAUUGUAACUGGAAGUUCCAGUUUAGAAAUCUGUCAACUUAUCUUGCAGCUUCAUUCCAAAUUUGCAUUAUAAUACCUUGGACCUCUACACUACUUGGGUAUUGAGGUCAUUCCUACAUCUAUGGAUGGUCUCCUACUAUUGUAGACCAAAUACGUUCAAAAUCAAUUGAAGCUGACGGUGUUCAGAGGACUCCGUAUGAGUUGAAGCAUCCCUUUCUCAAGCACUGUGUUAUGGAACCUCAGUACGUUCAAAAUCAAUUCAUCAGCAUAAACAAAUUAGAUUGGUAAUUAGUUUAAGUAGCCAAAUAAUCUGAAUGAUCACAUUCAGAGGACUGUUAUUGUAUCAAUCCACCAGCCUAGUAGUGAAGUUUUUCUACUCUUCAAUAACCUUUGUAUUUUGUCUUCGGGUAAAACAGUAAUUUUAGGUUGUCAAAUUACAAUAAUAUGGACUAAAGUGACUGAUAUUGUUCAGUAAUUUUAGGUACUUACUCUUAUAAUUAUUUUGGUGGUUUUGGAUUUGGUAUAUAUUUAACCUUAGCCGAUUCAUAUAUUUAGAAAUUUUGUUAAUGAAACUUGGAUGAUGUACAUGUCCAUCAUUCCACAGGAGAGUUUAGAGAGAA